rnacentral:misc_RNA from 1 species
UCAAACUUGGUCAUUUAGAGGAAGUAAAAGUCGUAACAAGGUUUCCGUAGGUGAACCUGCGGAAGGAUCAUUAACGAAUAUCUAUGGCGUUGGUUGUAGCUGGCUCUUAGGAGCAUUUUGUGCACGCCCGUCAUUCAUAUCAUCUUUCCACCUGUGAACUAUGUGUAGGCCUGGAUACCCCUCGCUUUGGCAACAAGGCGGAUACAAGGAUUGCUGCGUCGCAAGGCCGGCUCUCUUUGAAUUUCCAGGUUCUAUGUCUUUUACACACCCCAUUUGAAUGAUGUAGAAUGUAGUCAAUGGGCUAUCAUGCCUAUAAAACACUAUACAACUUUCAGCAACGGAUCUCUUGGCUCUCGCAUCGAUGAAGAACGCAGC